GACGAACCACACAAACGUUAUUCGGAAUUACUGGGCUUAAAGGGUGCGUAGGCUGUGCAGAAAGUUAGGUGUGAAAUCCCCCCGGCUCAACCGGGGAAUUGCGCUUAAAACUACUGUGCUAGAGGAAGACAGAGGUGAGCGGAACUUCGGGUGGGAGCGGUGAAAUGCGUUGAUAUCCGAAGGAACACCGGUGGCGAAAGCGGCUCACUGGGGCUUCACUGACGCUGAGGCACGAAAGCUAGGGGAGCAAACGGGAGUUAGAAACC
rnacentral:rRNA from 1 species